rnacentral:rRNA from 1 species
UAGCGGUGAAAUGCGCAGAUAUCAGGAGGAACACCGAUGGGCGAAGGCAGGUCUCUGGGCCAUAACUGACGCUGAGAAGCGAAAGCAUGGGGAGCGAACAGGAUUAGAUACCCUGGUAGUCCAUGCCGUAAACGUUGGGCGCUAGGUGUGGGGCUCAUUCCACGAGUUCUGUGCCGCAGCUAACGCAUUAAGCGCCCCGCCUGGGGAGUACGGCCGCAAGGCUAAAACUCAAAGGAAUUGACGGGGGCCCGCACAAGCGGCGGAGCAUGCGGAUUAAUUCGAUGCAACGCGAAGAACCUUACCAAGGCUUGACAUACACCGGAAAAGUGCAGAGAUGUGCUCCCCGUAAGGUCGGUGUACAGGUGGUGCAUGGUUGUCGUCAGCUCGUGUCGUGAGAUGUUGGGUUAAGUCCCGCAACGAGCGCAACCCUCGUUCCAUGUUGCCAGCACGUAAUGGUGGGGACUCAUGGGAGACUGCCGGGGUCAACUCGGAGGAAGGUGGGGAUGACGUCAAAUCAUCAUGCCCCUUAUGUCUUGGGCUUCACGCAUGCUACAAUGGCCGGUACAAAGGGUUGCGAUACCGUGAGGUGGAGCGAAUCCCAAAAAACUGGUCUCAGUUCGGAUUGGGGUCUGCAACUCGACCCCAUGAAGUCGGAGUCGCUAGUAAUCGCAGAUCAGCAACGCUGCGGUGAAUACGUUCCCGGGCCUUGUACACACCGCCCGUCAAGUCACGAAAGUCGGUAACACCCGAAGCCGGUGGCCUAACCCUUGUGGGGGGAGCCGUCGAAGGUGGGACUGGCGAUUGGGACUAAGUCGUAACAAGGUAACCGUA